rnacentral:rRNA from 1 species
GGAUUGGAGGCUGAAACCCGACCUCCCAUGAAGUUGGAUUCGCUAGUAAUCGCGCAUCAGCCAUGGCGCGGUGAAUACGUUCCCGGGCCUUGUACACACCGCCCGUCAAGCCAUGGGAGCCGGGGGUGCCUGAAGUUCGUGACCGCAAGGAGCGACCUAGGGCAAAACUGGUGACUGGGGCUAAGUCGUAACAAGGUACC